UACGUAGGUGGAAAGCGUUAUCCGGAAUUAUUGGGCGUAAAGAGCGCGCAGGUGGUUGAUUAAGUCUGAUGUGAAAGCCCACGGCUUAACCGUGGAGGGUCAUUGGAAACUGGUCGACUUGAGUGCAGAAGAGGGAAGUGGAAUUCCAUGUGUAGCGGUGAAAUGCGUAGAGAUAUGGAGGAACACCAGUGGCGAAGGCGGCUUCCUGGUCUGUAACUGACACUGAGGCGCGAAAGCGUGGGGAGCAAACAGGAUUAGAUACCCUCGUA
rnacentral:rRNA from 1 species